GUUAAAACAGAAGACAAAAGCCAGGCAGCUGACAGAAAGUUAGCCUGAUGUCACACUUUGUGCCAAUGCUGCCGGGAUAUGUUUUGGCCCACCCUGACCCUGCAAUGGAUUUUGGACACAUGGAUGAAACCAUCAAAAUGAGUGAAACUUAACCUUACCGUAAAUGGUAGGACAGCAUUGUCACUGCAUUGCGACAUGCUGCAGAAUUUCCACAUGAACAUACAUCAAAACGCACAUGGGCUUACUACAUGGAAACACCCCCAACUUCUUGUUACCUAGCAGCCUCCUUUCCUG